rnacentral:rRNA from 1 species
GACCUGAGAGGGUGAUCGGCCACACUGGGACUGAGACACGGCCCAGACUCCUACGGGAGGCAGCAGUAGGGAAUCUUCCGCAAUGGACGAAAGUCUGACGGAGCAACGCCGCGUGAGCGAAGAAGGCCUUCGGGUCGUAAAGCUCUGUUGUUAGGGAAGAACAAGUAACGCAGUAACUGGCGUUACCGUGACGGUACCUAACGAGAAAGCCACGGCUAACUACGUGCCAGCAGCCGCGGUAAUACGUAGGUGGCAAGCGUUGUCCGGAAUUAUUGGGCGUAAAGAGCUUGUAGGCGGCUUGUUGCGUCUGCUGUGAAA